UGCUCCGUCUCGAGCCGAUGUUUUGAAUGGUGACUGAUGUUCAGGGUUAGUACAAGCUGUGCAGUUGAUGUACCCAAUGACUGAUGCUGUAACUGAGAGGUUUCGGCUAACUCCAAACAACGAUAUAUAAAAAUCAAUAGCACUACGACAGCAACAACGAUCAACAGACUCCUACCAACUGGUGAAGCUGAUGGCAGACUGAUGAAGAUGGACGGAUCUGAAAUGAACGCCUGGUUGUUAGCUAUGUGCUCAUCAAUCUCCUGACGUUUUAUUUCGUUGACCUCUGUGUUUGUUGCUGCCUUCAGAGUCAGCGAGUCAGCGCUUAUCAUUCAUUACACAUAAUUCAUCGAUUUGUUUUAGUUGACGACUUGAUACAUUUUUUGCCUAGAUUAUAUAUGAUGUAAUAGAUAUUCAAAUUUUUACAACAUGUAAUCAUAAAGGCUGGUAAAUUUUGUUUUACACUAAAAGCAAUAACACUCAA